GAGAAAUUACUCAAACUUGGAUAGAAGGAUAUAAUAGGAUUCUUGAAUAAAUGGAGUGAUAAAGUUGACUUAUAGUUGAGAAGAUUCAAUAUUUUAGUUAUCAGUUCUUCCCCAAUUAAUCUAUAAGCUUACUCUACUUCCAGUUUUCAUCCCAACAGAAUUUUUCUGAGGAACUUGAUAUACAAAUUCUAUAAUUUAUAUUGGAAGAAUGAAGAUACAAGAAUAGUUUUUCUUUCUGCACAAAAAGGAUAAAGAAGGAGCACUCACCAGAUACCAAGGCGUGCUACAAAGCCAUGCUUAACAGUGGAUGUAACUGCUUCUUUGCUGUGGCAGAUUGUAUUUUCUGAAGGCCCCAACAGUCUCUCCUGUCCCUCCUCCUCUUCUGAAACCUUGAUACUUCCCUAUGAAGAGGUAGGGUCUAAUACUUCCCUCCUUCAACCUGAAGCCCCGCCUUGGGCUUGUGACUUGCUUGUAACCAGUCAAAUACAGUGGAAGAGUUACUACGUGACUUCCAGGGCUAGGUCAGAAAAGGAUGCAGCCUCAGGGUUCAACACACACUUGGGCCUGGAGCCACCAUGCAAGAAGGCUGCCAUGCUGCGAGGGAGCAAAGGCACGUGGAGGGACAUACACAGGGGCUGUGGCUGGCAGUCCUGGCCUUUGAGUCAUCCUUGUUUAAGUGCCAGGCACACACGUUAACUACCUUUAGGUAAUUCCAUACCUCAGGUGUCAUGUCACCCCAAGCCCUUGAGCCUUCCCAUCUGAAGCCCCAGGCUGUAUGGAGAAGAAACAAGAUGUUCCUGCCACGCUCUUUCUGAACUGCUGACAUACAGAAUCUGUGACCAUAAUAAAAUGGUUGUUUUGUGCCAUUAGGUUUGGCGUGACUUGUUAUGCCCUUCCUGCUUCUGUGUCUUUGCUCCCUCCAUCUGGAAUGCCUUUCCUCUCCCCCAGCCUGUAGAUAUUCUCUGAGGCCCAGCUACGAAUGGUAUCUCCUUGGUGGAGUUCCUCACAGAUUUAAGAGGGGUGACCUUAAAACUUGUGGCCACGGCUGGGUGUGGUGGCUCACACCUGUAAUCCCAGCAUUUUGGGAGGGCGAGGUGGGCAGAUCACUUGAGGUCAGGAGUUCAAGACCAGCCUGGCCAACAUGGUGAAACCCUGUCUCUACUAAAAAUACAAAAAUUAGCUGGACGUGGUGGCAUGUGCCUGUAAUCCCAGCUACUCAGGAGGCUGAGGCACGAGAAUCACUUGCACCCAGGAGGCGGAGGUUGUGGUGAGCCGAAAUUGUACCACUGCACUCCAGCCUGGGCAACAGAGUGCGAC
rnacentral:lncRNA from 10 species